UUAACCGGUUUUCCUGAGGUGACCCCUCCCGGAGCAGCAAGAGGGAUUCCUUCUGGCCCAGGAGGAGCUGGCGUGACCCCACGCUGGUGGUGCUCAUUGGUACCAGCUGCUCGGGCUCAUGCUCUCCAGGUGCCGGUGUUCCUGAGGCCCCAGCAACUCACCAAGUUUAGAUUUAAACAAACUCAGGAGUAUUUGCAAGUGGGUGUGUGGAUAAAUGAUCUAUGGAGAAACCUGGGAAAUGGCUGCACCUUCAGAGUGUGGGAAGUCUGGAGGCCAGAUUUGGGUCACUGGUGGUGUGUCUGAUUCUCCGAGACUGUUCUCACCUUUUCAUCUGCUGGCUGGAAAUCCUCAUUUCCUCCUGUGAGACAUCACAGGUUCCAUCGGAAGCAGCCCUGCUCAAACUGAGAAAGUAUUUUCCUCUCCUGUGGAUAAAUGUUUUAUAGUUAAGUGCUACUAAACAAACAAACAACAAAACAAGACAGUGUAACACAAUGCAAACAUGGAGAAACUCUGCCAUUUAUUCUAGUUCUUUAUGAUUUAUAGCUGUUUCUGAGAUUAGACCAUUCACCAAUGUCUCCUUAUACCAUAACCCAGCAAACUCAUUUCCAGUAAAGCACCUACCC